AUACGUAGGGGGCGAGCGUUGUCCGGAAUGAUUGGGCGUAAAGGGCGCGUAGGCGGCGCGGUAAGUCUGGAGUGAAAGUCCUGCUUUCAAGGUGGGAAUUGCUUUGGAUACUGCCGCGCUUGAGUGCAGGAGAGGUUAUCGGAAUUCCCGGUGUAGCGGUGAAAUGCGUAGAGAUCGGGAGGAACACCAGUGGCGAAGGCGGGUAACUGGACUGCAACUGACGUUGAGGCGCGAAAGUGUGGGGAGCAAACAGGAUUAGAUACCCUGGUAGUCCACACUGUAAACGAUGAAUGCUAGGUGUAGGGGGUAUCGACCCCUUCUGUGCCGCAGUCAACACAAUAAGCAUUCCGCCUGGGGAGUACGGCCGCAAGGUUGAAACUCAAAUGAAUUGGCGGG
rnacentral:rRNA from 1 species